rnacentral:rRNA from 1 species
UACGGGGGGGGCAAGCGUUGUUCGGAAUUACUGGGCGUAAAGGGCUCGUAGGCGGCCAACUAAGUCGGACGUGAAAUCCCUCGGCUUAACCGGGGAACUGCGUCCGAUACUGGAUGGCUGGAGGUUGGGAGAGGGAUGCGGAAUUCCAGGUGUAGCGGUGAAAUGCGCAGAUAUCAGGAAGAACACCCGUGGCGAAGGCGGUUCUCUGGGACGGUACUGACGCUGAGACGCGAAAGCGUGGGGAGCGAACAGG